rnacentral:rRNA from 1 species
CCUANGGGUGGCAGCAGUGAGGAAUAUUGCGCAAUGGAGGCAACUCUGACGCAGCCAUGCCGCGUGCAGGAAGAAGGCGCUACGCGUUGUAAACUGCUUUUAACCGGGAAGAAACCCCAGGACGUGUCCUGGGUUGACGGUACCGGAGGAAUAAGCACCGGCUAACUUCGUGCCAGCAGCCGCGGUAAUACGAAGGGUGCAAGCGUUAUCCGGAUUCAUUGGGUUUAAAGGGUGCGUAGGUGGGGCGAUAAGUCAGUGGUGAAAUCUUGCGGCUUAACCGUAAAAUUGCCAUUGAUACUGUCGCUCUUGAGUACGCUUGACGUGGGCGGAAUGUGCCGUGUAGCGGUGAAAUGCUUAGAUAUGGCACAGAACACCGAUAGUGAAGACAGCUCACGAAAGCGAAACUGACACUGAGGCACGAAAGCGUGGGGAUCGAACAGGAUUAGAUACCCGANUANUC